rnacentral:rRNA from 1 species
UCCAGACUCCUACGGGAGGCAGCAGUGGGGAAUAUUGCACAAUGGGGGAAACCCUGAUGCAGCGACGCCGCGUGAGUGAAGAAGUAUCUCGGUACGUAAAGCUCUCUCAGCAGGGAAGAAAAUGACGGUACCUGACUAAGAAGCCCCGGCUAACUACGUGCCAGCAGCCGCGGUAAUACGUAGGGGGCAAGCGUUAUCCGGAUUUACUGGGUGUAAAGGGAGCGUAGACGGUGCAGCAAGUCUGAUGUGAAAGGGCGGGGCCCAACCCCGGGACUGCAUUGGAAACUGUUGAACUGGAGUACAGGAGAGGUAAGCGGAAUUCCUAGUGUAGCGGUGAAAUGCGUAGAUAUUAGGAGGAACACCAGUGGCGAAGGCGGCUUACUGGACUGUAACUGACGUUGAGGCUCGAAAGCGUGGGGAGCGAACAGGAUGAGAUACCCGAGUA